AUCAGCCCAACAAUAGUCAGCCAAAUCCCAGGAACCUCCGUCUCGCCUACGUCUCCUAGGCUCCUGCGAUCGUGCAGUCUCCAUGGCAACCUCAGCAGCAGAUCGAUAGGUUGUCGUCCGCACUCACGGUUCGAUUCGAUUGCCUCAAAAUUCGCCCGACGACAGUCCUCUUCAAGCUGUCCAUGCCCUUCUCCUUCUAGCCUUCUCCACGACCCUGCUGCGGCUGCUGCUCCGCCCGGCGGGAUGGCGCCCCACUCCGACCGGCGGCCAUCCACUGUCUUCUCCCACCAGCCAGUCGGCCGGCACCCUGCCGCCCACGCCCAGCAAUGGGGAAGCAACAGAAAAUGCAAUCGUUUUUUAAAAGAAAACGAGAUGACGAAGUUGAAGAACAUACAGCAGCUCCUAAUACUCUCGCCUUGGUGGUGUUUGUAAAUCAAACACAAGGUGAAGAUGGACAGCAAAAUCAGAUGCAAGAUGGAAAUUGCUUCAAAAAUUUCAUAUGAAGAUAUAAUUGCUGAUUUCAAAGCUAAGAAGAACCGAAGAGCAUUUCUCUAGCUAGUUAUCUUUCAGUCAGUAUAUUUAGCCUUUUGGUUAGUAUAUGCAGCCAUGUUUAGUUGUCUUUUGGUCAGUAUACACGGUCUUUCUUUUUGGAUCAUCACAAAUUACUUGCCACAGUGUCCAGGUUAUAUUCUAACUAGUCAUGUCUGUAGUAUUUGUGUGAACAAAAUACUCAUAUAGUCAUAUAUAUCAUCAUGCCAUUGCCAUCUGAUAAUAUAUUACUUAUGAUAUGUCA